rnacentral:antisense_RNA from 1 species
GCGAUUUCUAUUCGUCUUCUCCGUGUGAGGUAUCUGUUGAAGUGAAAUUCUUUCUCCAGUUCCAAGACUUGAUGUCUUGUGUAGGCCGUUCUCGUCCUCUUGCUGUCUGUCCCGUAUGCUCCAUUGGCUCCUGAAGUAAACAAACAAAUGUUACAACCAAAGUUGAUAAACAAACUUAAUGAGUCAGCUACUUCUUGACAAUAUUGCAUAAACGCUUCCAGGUGAAAAGAUUCGUUAAAUUAUUAAAAUAAACUAACCUAUACUUUAAUUCUUCUCCACAUAAAUGCAGUUUUGAAGGGCUUAUGCCAGCUGAGAAGUUCCUAAAUGUGCUAUUAUCAUAAUUCAUAUAGCGCUUUAAAGGAAGUUAAUCAUAUUCCGAUGCCUAAUACUUAAGAAUGAGGUGGGAUCUUCUGUUUAAAAACCAUUGAUUCGUUUGUUGGAAAGUCUCUAGAUAUAGCCAAUAAAUCAUUCAUAGCUAUAUUGUGUCAUGAGUGACAUAUACAUGAAAUUUUGGUGUAAAUGCUAAUGUUUUGAUGUCUAUUUUUUUGCGUUAAAGGCCAACAUGUUGUUGUGCAAAUUACAUGGAUAAUAGGGGGAUUUUUGUUGCUGUGCUGUAUGUUUUGAAGUGCUAUUUCUAGCGUUCCCAUAGGCCUACAUGUGGGUAAUACAGAGGAUUUGUAUUGGCAUGUACUUGUAAGUCGACUGACACACAGCAGCCUGACCUCUAGGCUAGCUUUGAGGGGUCAAAUUUGACGAACGCUAGCNUCUGGUAUUUCGGUUAUGUUAUUCAGUGACAUGAAUCAUGGGGAAACGUGUUUAGCAGGCUGAGAGUAGAGCUCUGUGCAGGAUAGCCAGAGUGCUGAGCAGAACAGGCAGGAAUGAAACUAGCCACAGCCCUACCGGACAUUCGAGUAAUCAAUNUUCCCUGUCAAACAAUCGUUCGCCACAAAAUAUGGCUACACGUGGAGUGCUGAGCCGGUUUUCAUUAAGGUCUGUUGAUGGGCAGCACAGACUGACCUAUGGAAACCAGCGGGUCAUUGCAGUGAACGUGGGAUCAGUGCUAAACACCCCUCAAAGACUGGACACUAACACAGGCAACCACUAACACGUCCUGCCAUUUAGUGCAUAAGCGGCGAACUACAGAGCUCUGCAGCCUCGCUGAGAAACACAACUUUUGAGAAGCAAAAAAAAAAAAAAAAAAAAAAAAAAAAA